AUUUUAUUGGUCGAUUUGAAAUUGAUCAAUCACAUUCUUUUGAUAACAAGCUCUAAUUUGAUUGGCUAAAACAUGUCAUAUGUACACAUGGCAUGAUUUUACUAGCUCAUUUCAUUUAACUUGGAUUGCCACAUAAUAUUUGACACAUGACAUGCUUUUAGUGGCUCAUUUCAUUUAACAUGGAUUCUCACCUCAUGUGACAAGAGACAUGGGC
rnacentral:lncRNA from 1 species